GAUUAUCAAACACAUUUAAAAAUUUUAAUUUUCAAUAAAAUAAAAAAAUUUGAUGGUUUUUUAAACACUCCUUUAAGCAACGAUGGAUAUAAUCUGAUAAAGAAACCCAAACAAAUAAAAUAGACAUUUUAGAGGCCCAAUUUUGCUCGGGGCCCAAUAAACCUUAAAACCCAAAACAAAAACCUAAAGCCCAAACUAUAACUCAAUUACAAGCCUGAUCACCUAAACCCUAAUGGCCCAAUUAACCCAAAACAUAUCAGCUAAACAAAAACCCUAAGUGCCUUCCAGCGCCGCACCCUCUAGCCACCCCAUGUGCCUCCGCAGCAUGCACCCUGCUCGAUGUCUGCGCCCUCUCGCACCAAAAUGGCAAAAAGCCGAAACAUUCGCCUUUGACUCCGCCGAUCCUGCAAAAAAGGACAAAGAAGGAAAGCCAAAACGAGACGCAACAGCAGAGAACCAAAACAAAACGCAAAUAGUAGCAGAGACAAUAUUUUUUCUAAUAUUUGUAAUCGGCUAUAAAGCCGAGAAGAAACCAAUGUAAUGGGGUUUUUUUUAAUACAAAAAAAAAAUUGUAUUACACGAAUAUUGAGUAAUAAUAGGCAAAAAAAAAAGGAAGCAAAGGUUUUAAUCUUGGAUUUCUUUUUCCUUUUUUUCAUUUCGAUUUCCCUUUUUUAUUUGCUAUUUCAAAUUUGUUUUAAAUAAAAAAUAUAAAGAGAAUGAGAGAAGGAGAAGAGACUUACCCUGGUUAAUCGUUGAAAAAUCGGUGACUUUUGGUGUUCCGACCGCCGUGACGGUGGCAGAACCUGCGGCCGUCGACAACCAGUUUGGGUGCCAGAUCUUGGAAAGGGAAAAGGGGUUGAGAGGAUUCUUCAAUUUUUUUUGUGAGGAGAGUGUUAAAAGUGAAUAAAAAAAUCUGAAAUUUUGUGUUAUAUAGCAACCAUAAAACGCGCCGUUUUGAAAGUUGAGUUCAGAGGCCAAAACGACGUCCUUUUGGCCUCUGACCCGUGAUCCG
rnacentral:lncRNA from 1 species